GCAGGCGCGAAACCUCUGCAAUAGGCGAAAGCUUGACAGGGUUACUCUGAGUGAUUCCCGCUAAGGGAAUCUUUUGGCAUCUCUAAAAAUGGUGCAGAAUAAGGGGUGGGCAAGUCUGGUGUCAGCCGCCGCGGUAAUACCAGCACCCCGAGUGGUCGGGACGAUUAUUGGGCCUAAAGCAUCCGUAGCCGGUCUUGCAAGUCCUCCGUUAAAUCCAGCUGCUUAACAGAUGGGCUGCGGAGGAUACUACAAGGCUAGGAGGCGGGAGAGGCAAGCGGUACUCAGUGGGUAGGGGUAAAAUCCUCUGAUCCAUUGAAGACCACCAGUGGCGAAGGCGGCUUGCCAGAACGCGCUCGACGGUGAGGGAUGAAAGCUGGGGGAGCAAACCGGAUUAGAUACCCGGGUAGUCCCAGCUGUAAACGAUGCAGACUCGGUGAUGGGCCGGCUUUAUGCCAGCUCAGUGCCGCAGGGAAGCCGUUAAGUCUGCCGCCUGGGGAGUACGGUCGCAAGACUGAAACUUAAAGGAAUUGGCGGGGGAG
rnacentral:rRNA from 1 species